rnacentral:lncRNA from 1 species
GAUAAUGGGAAGCAUCAGGAUAUGUGUUCAGUUUUUGAAGCGUAUCUUCCGAAUGACAAGGAAUCAAAGCACGAAACCACUUGGGGAAUGUGCUCAGCUCAAUUACGGAACUCCUCGAAGAAGAAUCAAAGCAAACGGAGAUCAAACAAAGGAGUUAUUGAAUUUACAAAUCAUGUGUUCUCCAGUUUACCAGAUGCGGACCUGCACGCAUUCAAUGAAGAAUUCCGACCAGACCAGAAUGAACUAAGCUACAAACUGAGUUGUUCUACAAUCUUGGUCCAUUAGAGAAGCCCAGAAAAUUGGAUUCAGCCCAAAAAUAAUCAAGGAAGAUCAAUUUCCGUCCAUAGCAAAGACUGCAUUUAAUUUUGUCGAUUUCUCUCUCUUACAUGCACUUUAGAGUUUGAAUUUCAUCUCCCUAGAUGCUUUGCAUGUUAAGAAACUAUUAUGGACGAAUUUGUUGUAAUUCCUCUAUAUAAUGAGGUUCAUCUCAUGAAUAAAGAAUAAGCCUUUUUGAUAUUUUUGGAAUCCUUUGAGAGUGAGUUUUCAUUUUUCGUCAAUGGUGUAUAAUAUCCAUUGGUUUGGUUAAUGGUGUGUCUAUUGAUCAAUACAUGAUCCGUCUUGGUGCGUCAUAUCCAGGGGGUCUUGUCGAGAGUGAUUCUCAUUUUCAGCCUUGAAUUCGUCUUAGUGUGUCAUAUCUAAGGAAUUCAAGUUCGGUAAAUCAAGAGUCUUCCGCGGCUCGUGUGUGACCAUUCGCUCCACCAUCCUUGUUCUUCGUGGCUUCACCGUCCGUUGAACCUAAGGAAUAUCUUUUCACCGCCUUAGAGUGCCGACUCCUUGGGAGAUUCUCAUCAUUUGGUAUUAGAACACUACUCUAAGCUCGGUCUAUCAUUCUAUCAUUCUAUCAUUCUCACCUUCUCAUCUUUCAUUUUCCUUCAUAUCAUCUUCUCAUCUUUCAUUUUCUUUCACAUUAUCUUCUGUUCUUUAUCUUCUUUUCUUCUAUUUUAUUUCAUCUAUUUAUUUUCAUCAAAGAAAAACAAAAAAUAAAAUUCAAAAAGAAGAUAAUCCGGAUUUGAGGACAAAUCCUUUUUCAAGAGGGAGAGUAUGAUAUGAUAAUGGGAAGCAUCAGGAUAUGUGUUCAAUUUUUGAAGCGUAUCUUUCGAAUGACAAGGAAUCAAAGCACGAAACCACUUGGAAAAUGUGCUCAGCUCAAUUAGGGAACUCCUCGAAGAAGAAUCAAACCAAACGGAGAUCAAACGAAGGAGUUAUUGAAUUUACAAAUCAUGUGUUCUCCAGUUUACCAGAUGCGGACCUGCGCGCAUUCAAUGAAGAAUUCCGAACAGACCAGAAUGAACUAAGCUACAAACUGAGUUGUUCUACAAUCUUGGUCCAUUAGAGAUGCCCAGAAAAUUGGAUUCAUCCCAAAAAUAAUCAAGGAAGAUCAAUUUUCGUCCAUAGCAAAGACUGCAUUUAAUUCUGUCGAUUUCUCUCUCUUACAUGCACUUUAGAGUUUGAAUUUCAUCUCCCUAGAUGCUUUGCAUGUUAAGAAACUAUUAUGGACGAAUUUGUUGUAAUUCCUCUAUAUAAUGAGGUUCAUCUCAUGAAUAAAGAAUAAGCCUUUUUGAUAUUUUUGGAAUCCUUUGAGAGUGAGUUUUCACUUUUUGUCAAUGGUGUGUAAUAUCCAUUAUAUUGGUUUCGUUAAUGGUGUGUCUAUUGAUCAAUACAUGAUCCGUCAUGGUGCGUCAUAUCCAGGGGGUCUUGUCGAGAGUGAUUCUCAUUUUCAACCUUGAAUUCGUCUUAGUGUGUCAUAUCUAAAGAAUUCAAGUUUGGUAAAUCAAAAGUCUUCCGCAGCUCUUGUGUGACCAUUCGCUCCACCAUGCAUCCUUGUUUUUCGUGGCUUCACCGUCCGUUGAACCUAAGGAAUAUCUUUCCGCCGCCUUAGUGUGCCGACUCCUUGGGAGAUUCUCA